rnacentral:rRNA from 1 species
GAUGAACGCUGGCGGCGUGCCUAAUACAUGCAAGUCGAGCGAACGGACGAGAAGCUUGCUUCUCUGAUGUUAGCGGCGGACGGGUGAGUAACACGUGGAUAACCUACCUAUAAGACUGGGAUAACUUCGGGAAACCGUAGCUAAUACCGGAUAAUAUUUUGAACCGCAUGGUUCAAAAGUGAAAGACGGUCUUGCUGUCACUUAUAGAUGGAUCCGCGCUGCAUUAGCUAGUUGGUAAGGUAACGGCUUACCAAGGCAACGAUGCAUAGCCGACCUGAGAGGGUGAUCGGCCACACUGGAACUGAGACACGGUCCAGACUCCUACGGGAGGCAGCAGUAGGGAAUCCUCCGCAAUGGGCGAAAGCCUGACGGAGCAACGCCGCGUGAGUGAUGAAGGUCUUCGGAUCGUAAAACUCUGUUAUUAGGGAAGAACAUAUGUGUAAGUAACUGUGCACAUCUUGACGGUACCUAAUCAGAAAGCCACGGCUAACUACGUG